UGUCGUCAGCUCGUGUCGUGAGAUGUUGGGUUAAGUCCCGCAACGAGCGCAACCCUUACCUUCAGUAGCCAGCACAUUAGGUGGGCACUCUGGAGGGACUGCCAGGGACAACCUGGAGGAAGGUGGGGAUGACGUCAAAUCAUCAUGCCCCUUAUGGCCAGGGCUACACACGUGCUACAAUGGCGUAAACAAAGAGAGGCGACCACGCGAGUGUGAGCGAAUCUCAAAAAUAACGUCUCAGUUCGGAUUGUAGUCUGCAACUCGACUACAUGAAGCUGGAAUCGCUAGUAAUCGCAGAUCAGAAUGCUGCGGUGAAUACGUUCCCGGGUCUUGUACACACCGCCCGUCACACCAUGGGAGUCAGUAACGCCCGAAGCCGGUGACCCAACCUAAACAGGAGGGAGCCGUCGAAGGCGGGACGGAUGACUGGGGUGAAGUCGUAACAAGGUAGCCGUAUCGGAAGGUGCGGUUGGAUCACCUC
rnacentral:rRNA from 1 species